rnacentral:rRNA from 1 species
GACGAACGCUGGCGGCGUGCUUAACACAUGCAAGUCGAACGGUAAGGCCCUUCGGGGUACACGAGUGGCGAACGGGUGAGUAACACGUGGGUGAUCUGCCUGCACUUCGGGAUAAGCCUGGGAAACUGGGUCUAAUACCGGAUAGGACCAUGGACUUCACGGUUUGUGGUGGAAAGCUUUUGCGGUGUGGGAUGGGCCCGCGGCCUAUCAGCUUGUUGGUGGGGUAAUGGCCUACCAAGGCGACGACGGGUAGCCGGCCUGAGAGGGUGUCCGGCCACACUGGGACUGAGAUACGGCCCAGACUCCUACGGGAGGCAGCAGUGGGGAAUAUUGCACAAUGGGCGCAAGCCUGAUGCAGCGACGCCGCGUGAGGGAUGACGGCCUCGGUU